rnacentral:rRNA from 1 species
GAUGAACGCUGGCGGCGUGCCUAAUACAUGCAAGUCGAACGAACAGAUAAGGAGCUUGCUCCUUUGACGUUAGCGGCGGACGGGUGAGUAACACGUGGGUAACCUACCUAUCAGACUGGAAUAACUCCGGGAAACCGGGGCUAAUGCCGGAUAACAUUUAGAACCGCAUGGUUCUAAAGUGAAAGAUGGUUUUGCUAUCACUUAUAGAUGGACCCCCUCCGUAUUAGCUAGUUGGUAAGGUAACGGCUUACCAAGGCAACGAUACGUAGCCGACCUGAGAGGGGGGUCGGCCGCCCUGGAAGAGGGACACGGUCCAGAGUACUACGGGACGCAGCAGUAGGGAAUCGGCCGCAAUGGGCGAAAACCUGACGGAACAGCGCCACGUGAGUGACGAGAGUCGCCGGUUCGUAAAACUCGGUUAUUAGGGAAGAACAAAUGUGUAAGGAACUGAGCAGGUCUUGACGGUACCUAAUCAGAAAGCCACGGCUAACUACGUG